rnacentral:lncRNA from 1 species
CGCGUACAUAGUAUCAAGAAGAGAAAAAAGCCAUGUGUACCUUCUACUUUUCAAUCUUCAAGUUCUUCAGGAGAUUCUACCCUUAGAUUUUUUUAGCAACGACGGCUCGACGACUACGAAUGCAAGUUCAAAGAGAUCGAUCACCAACUUGUCCGACUUCAAGUGGAAGGUCGGAAGUUUUUCAACGACUACGACUUUCCCACUGUAUAACC